rnacentral:rRNA from 1 species
GACGAACGCUGGCGGCGUGCUUAACACAUGCAAGUCGAACGGAAAGGCCCUGCUUUUGUGGGGUGCUCGAGUGGCGAACGGGUGAGUAACACGUGAGUAACCUGCCCUUGACUUUGGGAUAACUUCAGGAAACUGGGGCUAAUACCGGAUAGGAGCUCCUGCUGCAUGGUGGGGGUUGGAAAGUUUCGGCGGUUGGGGAUGGACUCGCGGCUUAUCAGCUUGUUGGUGGGGUAGUGGCUUACCAAGGCUUUGACGGGUAGCCGGCCUGGGAGGGUGGCCGGCCUCAUGGGGACUGAGGUACGGCCCAGACUCCUACGGGAGGCAGCAGUGGGGAAUAUUGCACAAUGGGCGGAAGCCUGAUGCAGCAACGCCGCGUGCGGGAUGACGGCCUUCGGGUUGUAAACCGCUUUCGCCUGUGACGAAGCGUGAGUGACGGUAAUGGGUAAAGAAGCACCGGCUAACUACGUG